AUCCAGAUGACGAGUACCAAAUAGGACGAAAUGCGCAUCCUGGAU
rnacentral:hammerhead_ribozyme from 1 species